AUUUGUGAGGCUUCAUGUUAGGACUGGUGGCAAAAACAAAUAAUGAUCCUGCUCUUAAGAAACUUGCAAUUUUGUGAGAGAAGGAGACAGGAACAGAGAACAUACUUUGCCUUUUAUCACAUUAAAGCACUUCUGAAACCCAAGGAGGAGCUGGGUUAACUUCAAAUACUAAGGGAAGGAUUAAAAGAAGAUGAGGCCCGCAAAAGCCUUAUCCUGAAGGAUGAGUAGGCUUCUGACAGAAAAGCAAGACCGCAAAGAAAAGAAAGAGGAAACAGGAGGCGAGCAUCAGGAGAGAGAUCAAGUUGGGAAUUCUUAACAGAAGCCACAGUGAUUAGCACUCCUGCAGAGAGAGAAUUUCAAGAAAAGAAGUCGGAAGA
rnacentral:lncRNA from 1 species